CUGCCCGCUGGCGGCGUGCCUCAUACAUGCAAGUCGAGCGAACAGACGAGGAGAUUGCUCCUCUGACGUUAGCGGCGGACGGGUGAGUAACACGUGGAUAACCUACCUAUAAGACUGGGAUAACUUCGGGAAACCGGAGCUAAUACCGGAUAAUAUAUUGAACCGCAUGGUUCAAUAGUGAAAGACGGUUUUGCUGUCACUUAUAGAUGGAUCCGCGCCGCAUUAGCUAGUUGGUAAGGUAACGGCUUACCAAGGCAACGAUGCGUAGCCGACCUGAGAGGGUGAUCGGCCACACUGGAACUGAGACACGGUCCAGACUCCUACGGGAGGCAGCAGUAGGGAAUCUUCCGCAAUGGGCGAAAGCUUGACGGAGCAACGCCGCGUGAGUGAUGAAGGUCUUCGGAUCGUAAAACUCUGUUAUUAGGGAAGAACAAAUGUGUAAGUAACUAUGCACGUCUUGACGGUACCUAAUCAGAAAGCCACGGCUAACUACGUG
rnacentral:rRNA from 1 species